UCGCCUGUUUAUCAAAAACAUCUCUUCUUGAAAUUUGGAUAAGAAGUAGGCCCUGCCCGGUGACUUAGUUGUUAAACGGCGGUUAGUUCCUUAAAGUAGCGUAAUCAAUCGGCCUUUAAUUGGGGUCUAGUAUGAAUGGGUUGACGUCGGAGUGACUUUCUUACGGGAAAUUGGCGAAAUUUACAUCCUCGUGAAAAGGCCAGGUUGCUUUUAAUAGACGAGAAGACCCCGUCGAGCUCGUUAACUCUAAUUAAGGGCUUGGUCAGAGUAGAUUUGUUGGGGAAACAGCGGAGAAAGUAAACCUCCGCCACUUUGAGUGCAGGUCCUAUAUUUAUGGCGGCGAGAACUAGUUACCGCGGGGAUAACAGCGCGAGACUGCCCGGAAGGUCAUAUUUAAGGCAGUAUUUGCGACCUCGAUGUUGGAUUAGAUUAUCUACCAGGCGCAGAAGCUUGGCCAGAGGGUCUGUUCGACCCUUAAACGUCUACAUGAUCUGAGUUCAAACCGGAGA
rnacentral:rRNA from 1 species